AGAGGGUGCAAGCGUUAAUCGGAAUUACUGGGCGUAAAGGGCACGUAGGUGGCUAUUUAAGUCGGGUGUGAAAUGUCUGGGCUUAACCUAGAAUGGUCAUUCGAAACUGGAUAGCUAGAGUACAGUAGAGGAAAGUGGAAUUUCCGGUGUAGCGGUGAAAUGCGUAGAUAUCGGAAGGAACACCAGUGGCGAAGGCGGCUUUCUGGACUGAUACUGACACUGAGGUGCGAAAGCGUGGGGAGCAAACAGGGAUUAGAUACCCUGGUAGUCCACGCCGUAAACGAUGAAAACUAGCUGUUUGGAGCUUUUAGCUUUGAGUGGCGUAGCUAACGCGAUAAGUUUUCCGCCUGGGGAGUACGGCCGCAAGGUUA
rnacentral:rRNA from 1 species